AUGGAGUUGUACCAUGGGAGCCCGGGCAAUAGCCCCAGCUCGCCGGGUGCUUCGUUUGCUCCUGAUCCAGAUGCUUCUUCGCGUGUUCUUCUCAAUGGUGUACCUGGUACCGCAUUCAAGCUUGGCCGUGGUUUGAGACAGGGGGGCCCGCUCUCCCCUCUCCUUUUUGUGCUUGCCAUUGAUCCGCUACACCACAUCCUUCAGAUGGCCACUGAUCAUGGAAAGCUUCAUCCUGUUGGUGGCCAAGCCAUGCCUAUUAGGGAUUCUCUCUAUGCGGAUGAGGCCGCAGUUUUUCUUGCCCCCAUCAAGUCUGACGUUAAGUUCUUUGCUGAAAUUUUGAACCGCUACCAAGGUGGAGAUUGGAGAGAUGGCAUUCGGGCUUGUUUCUGGGAGUCUGCUUGGCUUGAGGAGUUGAGACCCAAAGAUAUUGCUCCCCGCAUUUUCGAUCUAUCCAAGAGAAAGAGUUGCCCUGUCCAUAAAGAUAUGCACAACAAUUUCUGGGUCUCCCAAAUUAACAUCAGCGAGGGCAUCUCCGUUGAUCACCUAUCUGAGUAUGUCAGCCAGUGGGAAAAGCUCUCUCUUGUCCAUCUAAAUCCAGAAAGGACGGAUACCAUCUCAUGGAAGCUAACGAUGGAUGGUCAUUACUCGGUUGCAUCGGCCUACGAUGUUCAAUUCUGGGGCUUGGUAGACACAGACCUUGUGCAGAAUGUGUGGAAGAUUUGGGCCCCUCCAAAUUAA
rnacentral:rRNA from 1 species